GACGAACGCUGGCGGCGUGCUUAACACAUGCAAGUCGAACGAAGUGGCGAACGGGUGAGUAACGCGUAAUCAACCUGCCCUUCAGAGGGGGACAACAGUUGGAAACGACUGCUAAUACCGCAUACUGAUGGACGGGUUUGCGUCUGAUUAGCUCGGUGGAGGGGGAACGGCCCACCAAGGCGAAGAUCAGUAGCCGGGCUGAGAGGAUGAACGGCCACAUUGGGACUGGGACACGGCCCAGACUCCUACGGGAGGGAGCAGUGGGGAAUCGUCCGAAAUGGACGAAAGGCUGACGGAGCAAAGCCGGGUGAGUGAUGACGGCCUUCGGGUUGGAAAGCUCUGUUAAUCGGGACGCGGUACCGGAAUAGAAAGCCACGGCUAACUACGUGCCAGCAGCCGCGGUAAUAC
rnacentral:rRNA from 1 species